GGUGGGGCCGGCUGGCUGCUGGUUCACCAGGAGCCACAAGGGUGCGCAUUUGGCCUCCUGGGAGCGUGGACAUGGCCCACGGGCCCUUGCGAGCUGUGGGCAGAGGGCUGUCCUGCGGCAAGGCAGCUGGUGCCUGAACAAGUCCACUAGCGCAUCGUGUCUGUGCAUACCCAGAGAUGAUCUUGAAUCAAUGAUGGGGAGAUAUGGAACAUCAUUCAUAUAUCACUUUAGUAUAUAUUUAGUAGCCACCUGCUGUGGGCCAGGCACCAAGCCACACUGCGCAUAUGGGGUGAGCAAGAAGAGGCCCCCUGCCCUGAUCCUGCAGUCAAGAAACAUUUCUGAACUUCCCAGGCACCUGUGAGCCAUGCCGGCAUGAAGCAUUAAUGGGUCUCCUUUCCCUUCUGGUGGGUGCACCUGAGGGAACCCUGCAUGGCAGCUGGUUGCGGAAGAAGCCAAACCAGAAGCUGACAGCAAAUCAUAAAGCCCCUGGGAUUGUGUCCUAUUUAAAUAGAUCACCUUGUUUCCAAACAUUUAUUUAUUUCCCUUUUGAUUCUUUCUUCUCCGUUUGCAAGCCUGUAUUUCCAGCUUCACAGUUUUCUAGCGUUUACCAUGUGUUAGGCACUGUGCUAGCCACCUUUGGCACUGCAUCCUCUAAUGAGCGAAGCUGCCUGUGAGCCAUUCUACCCCUUUUCUUGCUGUUGCAUGGCCUCCCUCCGCCCCAUUGGCUGCCAGCUCAGCAUUCACCUCUUGGCCUUGCUCACUGUGUUGCCCCCUGCAUCUCUCCUAGCCUCCUAGGGACCUGAGGGCUCUUACUCAAACCCGCCUCGCCUGGCACAUCGAACCACAGCAGACACAGCAAGUUAAGUCCUGCGGUGAGGGAGGGAGGUUGGGCCAGGGGGGCGACUGACCUUUUCUCAUCCUGCACUUGGGUCCUAUACCUCCCAACUGUCUUAAUUGACAAGGUUGGCUAUGUUUCUGUACUUUUACUUACCAGUUAAGCCUCCCCUUAUAUGCAUUUUCUGUUCAUGUUCUUUGUCUACUUAUCUACUGAGGUCUUGAAUUUUAAAAAAUCAAUUUGUAUGAAUUCUUUAUGUAGCAGAGAUAUUAAAGCAUUUCCGCUAUGUUUGCUGCAAAAUUCUUUCUCUGUCCAAUAUUUGUUUCCUUGGUUUUUGCUAUAAAGAAGAUAUGUCUUCCGAGUGUAAAGUUUGCACCCAUAAAUAAGAAGGGCCAUAUUUAAAUGUGUGUACCUUUCUCUUAUCUUUACAUAGCCUAUAAUAUGUUUUCUCAGGCAGUUUAAGUCUCACUCUGGAAUGCUCAGAUUAGCAGCCAAGGAUGUGUUCAGGAGGAGGGAGAAAUUGGAUCCCUCUGUGACAGGAAUGGCUAAUGACAUUUUUUCCCCUGAUGAGGCGUAUGGUCCACUCUU